CCUACGGGAUGCAGCAGUGGGGAAUCUUGCGCAAUGGACGAAAGUCUGACGCAGCCACGCCGCGUGAGUGAAGAAGGCCUUCGGGUUGUAAAGCUCUGUCGGAAGGGACAUGGUACCUUUAAAGGAAGCACCGGCUAACUUCGUGCCAGCAGCCGCGGUAAUACGAAGGGUGCAAGCGUUGCUCGGAAUUAUUGGGCGUAAAGGGUAGGUAGGUGGUGACAUUUGUCUGGGGUGAAAUCCCUGAGCUUAACUCAGGAAGUGCCUUGGAAACGGUGUCACUAGAGUGCUGGAGAGGUUCGCAGAAUUCUUGGUGUAGCGGUGAAAUGCGUAGAGAUCAAGAGGAAUACCAGAGGCGAAGGCGGCGAACUGGACAGUACUGACACUAAACUACGAAAGCGUGGGGAGCAAACAGGAUUAGAUACCCUAGUAGUC
rnacentral:rRNA from 1 species